rnacentral:rRNA from 1 species
GUCCAUGCCGUAAACGUUGGGCACUAGGUGUGGGGCUCACUCCACGAGUUCCGUGCCGCAGCAAACGCAUUAAGUGCCCCGCCUGGGGAGUACGGCCGCAAGGCUAAAACUCAAAGGAAUUGACGGGGGCCCGCACAAGCGGCGGAGCAUGCGGAUUAAUUCGAUGCAACGCGAAGAACCUUACCAAGGCUUGACAUAUACCGAAAACUCAUGGAGACAUGGGGUCCGCAAGGGCGGUAUACAGGUGGUGCAUGGUUGUCGU